rnacentral:rRNA from 1 species
GAUGAACGCUAGCGGCAGGCUUAAUACAUGCAAGUCGUGGGGCAGCAGGACUGUAGCAAUACAGUUGCUGGCGACCGGCAAACGGGUGCGGAACACGUACGCAAUCUACCCAGAACUGGUGAAUAGCCCUCCGAAAGGAGGAUUAAUACACCGUAAUAUUAUAAAGUGGCAUCACGUAAUAAUUAAAGCUACGGCGGUUUUGGAUUGGCGUGCGGCCCAUUAGGUAGUUGGUUGAGGUAAUGGUUCACCAAGCCUGCGAUGGGUAACUGGUGUGAGAGCACGACCAGUCAGACGGGCACUGAGACACGGGCCCGACUCCUACGGGAGGCAGCAGUAAGGAAUAUUGGUCAAUGGACGCAAGUCUGAACCAGCCAUGCCGCGUGGAGGAUGAAGGCCCUCUGGGUUGUAAACUUCUUUUAUGGGGGACGAAAUCACUUAUUCUUAAGUGUCUGACGGUACCCCAGGAAUAAGCACCGGCUAACUCCGUGCCAGCAGCCGCCGUAA